GCGACAGCGAUAGUGGAUACGAAGAUGCGGAUGACAUUGACAAUUUAAAAAAUAAUUUGUUUGUAAUGACUAAUCGUUUGGACGCUCUCGGUCGAGAUUACAUAACAAUCGAAGAUCGUGUUUUUAUAUUGGAAAAACGUAUCGAAACAGUAGAACGAACAUGCAUAUGAAUGUCAACGUGUGUUAUUUAACCAAAAUGCUGACAAACAAAAUAAAAUAAAUUAACUGAUAUUGUACUACAAAUAUAGUUACAUUUUUACAAAUGUAGAAACUGUACUAUACUAAUACACUAAUAGAUUUUUCAAAAAAUCUAAGAGAAUUGUAGUAUUUAUACGUGUUGAUAUCUACCAAAAAAAUCAGACCAUGAUAAUUUUUUAUACAAAGUUAACAAAAUGUUUUUUUUUUUUGGUCGUGUUUUUUACACACAAAUCAUUUUGGUUCGUGUUAAGGUCCUUCUAAAAUUAAUUUGCUCAGUUUAAUCAUUCCCCUGUUUACGACUUACGUUGUUGUUCGGUGUACGGUCAUACGUUUACAAUCGAAGUGUAUUUGAUCCAAAAUGGAUAGUGGAAAAGAAACGUAUAUUGCGUAUGAAAAUCGUCUCAAUGAAAAUUCAGGUAAGAAAUAAAAACUGUAUGAUAUGACAAUCGAAACUAAUUUUACGUAAAAUUACUUUUCCAUUUUUCUCGUUUAGGAUAUGAUGUUUGUGGAUUUUACUGUUCGACGUCUAAUGAUCAGCAGACUAGAAUGAAACUCCCUAAACACAAAGAGUUUGCCGAUUAUAACACUCGUUUAAAAAGACUUUUGAAAACUGUCCAAAAAAAUUGGAAUCAAAAAUAUCAAGACUUUGUGAUGCUGGAUUUUUAUACUUAGGUAACGGACAAAAUGAUCAAAUGUUAUGUUAUUGCUGCAGUCAAGGUAUGAAAGAUUGGGAUGAUGAAGACGACCCAUGGGUAGAACACGUACGUUGGUCUCCUAGCUGUACCCAUGUAUUGUUAUGUUAAAUAUAUUCAAUAAAACCGUUCCAGAAUCUUUUUCAAGUGUAUCUGUUUUCGUAUAUUUAAUCAAAAUUAUUCAAAAUGAAAUUACCAAAAAGUGUCAAUAAUGUAGAACAUCUGAUUGAAUACAUGGAAAGUACUGGAGUAUUAUGUUUUUUAGAAAUCGCACAGCUUUUGACCGGGGAGUAAUGAAUGAUGGUUUUAAUAUUCGCGAUCCGGAAGCAUUACGAACCAUACGGAGUUGUGCCGAUUUAUACAAGAGAGAAAUUCGAGCGGGUAAAUUAAUAAUGCUGUUUGGCGAAAAAAAUUAUUUAAAAUUUAAUUUUUAUAAUGUACGUUAUCCCGACGGCUCCACGGCAUCUAUUUGUAGGUCGGGUACAUGUUUUGUUGAAUUAUCGAAUAUUCAGGAACGUGUAAUUGUACAAAAGGUGGUUGAGGAGUUUGUUCUCAACCCCUAUUCUAUGCACUUUUUGAUAUUGCAUUUUCCACCUCACUGUUCAUGUAAAUUUAGUGAUGAACAAAUAUUUACAUGGACAGUGUAGAUUAAUUGUUGUAUAUAUAGUUUUGUUUAGUUUAUAGUUUAGUAUAUAGUUUUGUAAAUAUAUUUAAUACAUUAUGUUGAAAUAUUAAAAUAAAUAUGUUGUAUUAAUAGUGUG